GACGAACGCUGGCGGCGUGCCUAAUACAUGCAAGUAGAACGCUGAAGGAGGAGCUUGCUUCUCUGGAUGAGUUGCGAACGGGUGAGUAACGCGUAGGUAACCUGCCUGGUAGCGGGGGAUAACUAUUGGAAACGAUAGCUAAUACCGCAUAAUAGUAGAUGUUGCAUGACAUUUACUUAAAAGGUGCAAUUGCAUCACUACCAGAUGGACCUGCGUUGUAUUAGCUAGUUGGUGGGGUAACGGCUCACCAAGGCGACGAUACAUAGCCGACCUGAGAGGGUGAUCGGCCACACUGGGACUGAGACACGGCCCAGACUCCUACGGGAGGCAGCAGUAGGGAAUCUUCGGCAAUGGACGAAAGUCUGACCGAGCAACGCCGCGUGAGUGAAGAAGGUUUUCGGAUCGUAAAGCUCUGUUGUAAGAGAAGAACGAGUGUGAGAGUGGAAAGUUCACACUGUGACGGUAUCUUACCAGAAAGGGACGGCUAACUACG
rnacentral:rRNA from 1 species